UCAGAAGUUGGUCUAGGGGUAUGAUUCUCGCUUAGGUUGCUAGAGAUCCCGGGUUUAAAUCCCGAACGAG